UGAACUGGGUGNCUAGAGUGUGUCAGAGGGAGGUAGANUUCCACGUGUAGCAGUGAAAUGCGUAGAGAUGUGGAGGAAUACCGAUGGCGAAGGCAGCNUCCUGGGAUAACACUGACGUUCAUGCCCGAAAGCGUGGGUAGCAAACAGGAUUAGAUACCNUGGUAGUCCACGCCCUAAACGAUGUCGAUUAGCUGUUGGGCAGCAUGACUGCUUAGUAGCGAAGCUAACGCGUGAAAUCGACCGCCUGGGGAGUACGGUCGCAAGAUUAAAACUCAAAGGAAUUGACGGGGACCCGCACAAGCGGUGGAUGAUNNNGAUUAAUUCGAUGCAACGCGAAGAACCUUACCUGGUCUUGACAUGUACGGAACCCUCCAGAGACGGAGGGGUGCCUUCGGGAGCCGUAACACAGGUGCUGCAUGGCUGUCGUCAGCUCGUGUCGUGAGAUGUUGGGUUAAGUCCNGCAACGAGCGCAACCCUUGUCAUUAGUUGCCAUCAUUAAGUUGGGCACUCUAAUGAGACUGCCGGUGACAAGCCGGAGGAAGGUGGGGAUGACGUCAAGUCCUCAUGGCCCUUAUGACCAGGGCUUCACACGUCAUACAAUGGUCGGUACAGAGGGUAGCCAAGCCGCGAGGUGGAGCCAAUCUCACAAAACCGAUCGUAGUCCGGAUUGCACUCUGCAACUCGAGNGCAUGAAGUCGGAAUCGCUAGUAAUCGCAGGUCAGCAUACUGCGGUGAAUACGUUCCCGGGUCUNG
rnacentral:rRNA from 1 species